rnacentral:rRNA from 1 species
UACAGAGGGUGCGAGCGUUAAUCGGAAUUACUGGGCGUAAAGGGCGCGUAGGUGGCCUGUUAAGUCGAACGUGAAAUCCCCGGGCUCAACCCGGGAACUGCGUCCGAGACUGGCAGGCUCGAAUCCGGGAGAGGGAUGUGGAAUUCCAGGUGUAGCGGUGAAAUGCGUAGAUAUCUGGAGGAACACCGGUGGCGAAGGCGGCAUCCUGGACCGGUAUUGACGCUGAGGCGCGAAAGCCAGGGGAGCAAACGGG